rnacentral:lncRNA from 1 species
UCGAUAAGCUUGUAGGGGAAAUCAACAGAAUAUUAUUAUUAUUAUUAUUUCUAUUAUUAUUUGAAGAUAAAAAUUGAUAUUUUUUUUUUUAAAUUAAAGGUCAUAUCAGUUAACAGCAUUUAACAAAACACAGUCAUGUUCAUUCUCAAGAGUCAAGAUUUUUACUUUGAUUAAGCUUGACGACAAUUCAUCGUUCCACAGUCUACAAUAUCCUAUAUUCCUAUACUCAUUGGAUUGAUAUAAAAAACGAAAAUAAAAAGAAGCAAUUCUACCGACCGGUUUCUAUUAUAAUUAUUAUUGAAUUUCGAGUAAAUUUCUUGGCUCUUGGUAUCGUCAAGCAACAUAAUAUAUACUCCAAAAAUAAUAUUGAAGAAGCAACAGAAGCUGCUUUCUACAUAUUACAAUUUAUCAUUAUUUUUUUUUCAAUUAAAUUUGAUAAUAAAUAUCAAUUUUUUUAUCAACAGUAAUUAUUUUUUGUAAUUUGUUAUGAGUGAAGAAUCUCUACCAUCUACGAAUGGAGGAAAUGAAGAGCAUGUUGAAUCACAUGGAAUACUAUCAAAGUAUUUCAAAUGGGUACGAUAUGUUUCGGUGGAACCAACAAUGUGGCUUUACAUGAUGGCCUUUAUGACAACAACUGUUAUUGAACAGUCACUUUUCAGCUACAAAGCAUGCAGAGUUGAUCAUAAUUUAACUGAAGAAAUAUGUAGAAAUCUUACAGCAAAUAACGC